rnacentral:rRNA from 1 species
CGCAUACGAUCUACGGAUGAAANCGGGGGAUCGCAAGACCUCGCGCGAUUGGAGCGGCCGAUAUCAGAUUAGGUAGUUGGUGAGGUAAAGGCUCACCAAGCCGACGAUCUGUAGCUGGUCUGAGAGGACGACCAGCCACACUGGGACUGAGACACGGCCCAGACUCCUACGGGAGGCAGCAGUGGGGAAUUUUGGACAAUGGGCGCAAGCCUGAUCCAGCAAUGCCGCCGUGCAGGAUGAAGGCCUUCGGGUUGUAAACUGCUUUUGUACGGAACGAAACGGUGAGCUCUAAUACAGUUUGCUAAUGACGGUACCGUAAGAAUAAGCACCGGCUAACUACGUG